rnacentral:lncRNA from 1 species
ACGAGUUGAGGAGUUUCUCCUGAUGAUUGACUCGCCGGAAUUCGAAAUUCGAUUUGUGCCCGAUCAUUCAUCCAUGGCUUUCGUCAACGCCAUCGAAGUGUUCUCUGCUCCAGAUGACCUAGAAAUUCCGUCAGACUCCGACAAGAAUCUGCAUACGGUUUACAGAUUAAACGUAGGAGGCAAGAAGAUCACACCAGAAAACGACACCUUGGGAAGAACUUGGUCAUUAGACGAUGACUUCCUCUACGAAAAAGAUUCUGCGAGGAACAUUAACUCAACACAAAAGCCUAACUAUGAGUCAGGAACAGUGACGCAAUUCACUGCUCCUGAUUUCGUCUAUCAGACAGCUAAAACGAUGAACCAUAGCUCGAACGAGGGGGUGGUAGAGGGAAUGUUGAUGAACGUCACUUGGUCAUUUAAGGUCAAAAGCAGCUCAAGACACUUCAUCAGGGUUCACUUCUGUGAUAUCAAGAGUGAAUCACAAAAUCCCGACUCCGAUUUCUAUCUCUAUGUAAACGGACAAUCACGACUAGAUGUAAAGCCUUCAGAGCGUAUUAGGUUGGUGACUCCGUUUUUCAAAGAUGUGAAUGUCUCUGAUGGUUUUGGACUCUUGAAUGUUACAAUAGGUACUAAGGAUUCCACUAAGGAUGCUGGUUUUCUGAAUGGUCUGGAGGUGAUGGAGUUUUUGAAAAAGUCAGAUUCUUCAGAUAAAAGUAGUUUCCGGGUUUACAUCAUUGCUGGCUGUGUUGUUGCUGCAUCGGUUCUGGUAUUGAGUUUGUUGUUCACAGUUUUCUUGAAGCGGAGGAGAUUGAAGAAGGAAAAGAAGUUAGACGCUGAGGUCACUGAAUGGUCUCCUUUGCCAUUGUACAGAGGUGGUGGGAGUUCCGACAAUAGACCUUCUGAUCCGGUCAACAAUUCUCCAUUACGCAGCAAUAGAACUUUUGAUCCGGUCAACAAUUCGCCAUUACGCAACCUAAACUUAGGCUUGACCAUUCCCUUCAUAGACAUUAUGAGAGCUACAAACAAUUUCGACGAGCAGUGGUUGAUCGGGAGAGGCGGUUUCGGAGACGUUUACAAAGCCAUUCUUCAAGAUGGAAGCAAAGCGGCUAUCAAGAGAGGCAAGAGUGGUUCAGGACAAGGAAUAUUGGAGUUUCAAACAGAGAUUCAAGUCCUGUCGAGAAUCCGGCACAGGCACCUCGUUUCUCUAACGGGUUACUGCGAAGAGAACUCGGAAAUGAUCCUUGUCUACGAGUUUAUGGAGAAAGGUACGCUUAAGGAGCAUCUAUAUGGCUCGGAUUUGCCUUCACUGACAUGGAAACAGAGACUAGAGAUCUGCAUCGGAGCAGCCAGAGGUUUGCAUUAUCUCCACAGUGGCUCAGAAGGAGCAAUCAUUCACAGAGAUGUCAAAUCCACAAACAUACUACUAGACGAGAACACCGUAGCCAAAGUUGCCGAUUUCGGGCUCUCAAAACUCGCGGUUCGUAAUCAAGAUCCGAUUAAUAUCAGCACUAACAUCAAAGGAACAUUCGGUUACCUCGAUCCUGAGUAUCUGCAGACACACAUCUUGACGGAGAAAUCAGAUGUUUACGCUUUUGGAGUCGUUCUCCUCGAGGUCUUGUGCGCGAGAUCGGCUCUCGAUCCUUCUCUUCCUCACGAGGAAGUGAAUCUAGCCGAGUGGGCGAUGUUCUGCAAAUCCAAAGGGAUAAUCGAUGAGAUCUUAGAUCCGAAAUUGAUAGGUCAGAUCGAGCCGAGUUCGUUGAGGAAAUACAUGGAAAUCGCGGAGAAGUGUUUGAAAGAGUACGGAGACGAGAGGCCGAGCAUGGGGGAUGUGAUCUGGGAUCUGGAGUAUGUUCUUCAGCUUCAGAUGAUGCCGAUUCGCAGAGAGCCUCAUGAGGAUAGCGCCGCGACGAUCUCCG